rnacentral:rRNA from 1 species
GAUGAACGCUGGCGGCGUGCCUAAUACAUGCAAGCCGAGCGAACAGACGAGUAGCUUGCUCCUCUGACGUUAGCGGCGGAAGGGUGAGUAAAACGUGGAUAACCUACCUAUAAGACUGGGAUAACUUCGGGAAACCGGAGCUAAUACCGGAUAAUAUAUUGAACCGCAUGGUUCAAUAGUGAAAGACGGUUUUGCUGUCACUUAUAGAUGGAUCCGCGCCGCAUUAGCUAGUUGGUAAGGUAACGGCUUACCAAGGCAACGAUGCGUAGCCGACCUGAGAGGGUGAUCGGCCACACUGGAACUGAGACACGGUCCAGACUCCUACGGGAGGCAGCAGUAGGGAAUCUUCCGCAAUGGGCGAAAGCCUGACGGAGCAACGCCGCGUGAGUGAUGAAGGUCUUCGGAUCGUAAAACUCUGUUAUUAGGGAAGAACAAAUGUGUAAGUAACUAUGCACGUCUUGACGGUACCUAAUCAGAAAGCCACGGCUAACUACGUG